UACGUAGGGGGCGAGCGUUGUCCGGAUUUAUUGGGCGUAAAGAGCUCGUAGGCGGUUUGGUAAGUUGGAUGUGAAAUCCCCAGGCUUAACUUGGGAACUGCAUCCGAUACUGGAUGGCUUGAAUCCGGGAGAGGGAUGCGGAAUUCCAGGUGUAGCGGUGAAAUGCGUAGAUAUCUGGAGGAACACCGGUGGCGAAGGCGGCAUCCUGGACCGGCAUUGACGCUGAUGAGCGAAAGCCAGGGGAGCAAACGGG
rnacentral:rRNA from 1 species